rnacentral:rRNA from 1 species
AGUGAACGCUGGCGGUAGGCCUAACACAUGCAAGUCGAACGGCAGCACAGUAAGAGCUUGCUCUUACGGGUGGCGAGUGGCGGACGGGUGAGGAAUACAUCGGAAUCUACUUUUUCGUGGGGGAUAACGUAGGGAAACUUACGCUAAUACCGCAUACGACCUACGGGUGAAAGCAUGGGAUCUUCGGACCUUGCGCGAUUGAAUGAGCCGAUGUCGGAUUAGCUAGUUGGCGGGGUAAAGGCCCACCAAGGCGACGAUCCGUAGCUGGUCUGAGAGGAUGAUCAGCCAAACUGGAACUGAGACACGGGCCAGACUCCUAAGGGAGGCAGCAGUGGGGAAUAUUGGACAAUGGGCGAAAGCCUGAUCCAGCCAUACCGCGUGGGUGAAGAAGGCCUUCGGGUUGUAAAGCCCUUUUGUUGGGAAAGAAAAGCAGCAGGUUAAUACCCCGCUGUUCUGACGGUACCCAAAGAAUAAGCACCGGCUAACUUCGUG